CGCAAAGGAUUGUGGGUAAUCAUCUAGCUCGCCACUAGGAUUUGCCUGGAGGUGCUGACUGUAUUUCCUGGCGGAUCACGUGAUGCGGAACACGGUACGUGACGUCACGCCGUCCCUUUAUUAACGCAGUAGGCCUUUGCAAGAUUGUUGCCACCAACCUGGAUCCCUGCGGUUUUUUCCGUGUUGGCUCGUCAAUGAGCGGCAAAGAGCCAGGAUGAAACUCUUGAAGAUGUUGCAACUUUGGCUGCCGACGACCCGAUUUGCCGCCGUUGACCCCGUAAAUGUUGCGAUGCGGCAAAAAAGCCAAGGCGGGAACGCUGGACUGUCUGUGGACGUGACUCUUAAGGAGCGGAUGAGGAAACAGCGAGGAGGAGACGAAGCAGUCGUCCCUCACCAUGCACACGGGCCUCCCGUUGAGUCCUGAGGUGGCAUGUUUUGUGUUCUGCACCCGGGCGGCUUUUCCUUCAGUUCUGAGAAA